CAGGAGCAAGAUCUGGAGAAAACACGGCAGUACUCUCAAAAGCUAGGGCUGCUGACUGAGCAACUACAGAGCCUGACUCUCUUUCUACAGACAAAACUAAAGGAGAAGACUAUGUUUCAAGAAAGCAGAAAUAUAGCCUUCUUUGGCCUCCCUGCAGUGUGCACUAAACAAUAAAUGGUUGACAUCAUUCAGAAUACAAAGACUGAACAAGAGACCCUUCUGCUGAGUACAGCCUGUCCUCCCACCCAGGAACACCCUCUGCCUAAUGACAGGACCUUCCUGGGAAGCAUCUUGACAGCAGUGGCAGAUGAAGAGCCAGAAUCAACUCCUGUGCC
rnacentral:lncRNA from 1 species